UACGGAGGGUGCAAGCGUUAUCCGGAUUUACUGGGUUUAAAGGGUGCGUAGGUGGGUAGGUAAGUCAGUGGUGAAAUCUCCGAGCUUAACUCGGAAACUGCCAUUGAUACUCUCUAUCUUGAAUAUCCUGGAGGUGAGCGGAAUAUGUCAUGUAGCGGUGAAAUGCUUAGAUAUGACAUAGAACACCAAUUGCGAAGGCAGCUCACUACGGGAUUAUUGACACUGAGGCACGAAAGCGUGGGGAUCGAACAGG
rnacentral:rRNA from 1 species